rnacentral:rRNA from 1 species
GAUGAACGCUGGCGGCGUGCCUAAUACAUGCAAGUCGAGCGAACAGACGAGGAGCUUGCUCCUUUGACGUUAGCGGCGGACGGGUGAGUAACACGUGGAUAACCUACCUAUAAGACUGGGAUAACUUCGGGAAACCGGAGCUAAUACCGGAUAACAUGUUGAACCGCAUGGUUCAACAGUGAAAUACGGUUUUGCUGUCACUUAUAGAUGGAUCCGCGCCGCAUUAGCUAGUUGGUAAGGUAACGGCUUACCAAGGCAACGAUGCGUAGCCGACCUGAGAGGGUGAUCGGCCACACGGGAGCGGAGACACGGUCCAGACUCCUACGGGAGGCAGCAGAAGGGAAUCUUCCGCAAUGGGCGAAAGCCUGACGGAGCAACGCCGCGUGAGUGAAGAAGGUCUUCGGAUCGUAAAACUCUGUUAUUAGGGAAGAACAAAUGUGUAAGUAACUAUGCACGUCUUGACGGUACCUAAUCAGAAAGCCACGGCUAACUACGUG